GCGCUUUGACCUAAAAAGUAAAUAUUCUUACAUAUUCGGUUCCCACGAUGAUGCUUCAUUCCCAUGAUCUCAAACCACGAUUUCUAACUCCUAUCCCACCAACUCUUCGGCGGGAAUUGUGAGUAACAUGAUUUCACAGCCUUUUGAAAUCAUUUUUCUACUUUUACAAUAAGUAACUCUUUCUCCCUUAUGCACAUCAAGCAAGAAUUCUGGAUAGAAGCUAUUAAGUCUUUUCCAUUAUAAGUUCACUGCACCAUGUUGUCAUAGAUGAUUUGAUACAUUAUAGAGGAGUUAAUGGCGGCUGAAAGUAAUUUCAUUAGCGAAAUUAACAGCAAGUCAAUGAACUGAAAAUUGAAGGAAGACCGCAUUUACGCAAGUGUUGGCAUAUCUCUUAUCCAAAGGUUCAACGAACAAAUUAAGAAAAUAGGUUUGUAUGUUAUGAAGAAUUUUGUGGUUUGUCCAAAUAAUAUGAAGCUUAAGACCAAAGACCACAAGUUUAAGUUGAUAUUCACGCAGAAGAUCAAUGUUGAGGAAAUAAAGGAUCCAUAUUUCAACAUGUGUAUCUUUAAAGUUAGACCUAUGAGCAGCUGUCAAAUUCACAAAAAUUUGACAACAGUAAAUUAUUCGGGCUCAAUUUUCUGGUGUUGCUGGUUACGUUGUCAUAUGGGUAUCAAUACGUGCUAAUGUUUGAAUAUCAAGUGUAACAAAACGAUCUGCUCGAGAGGCUUUGCAGGUUCUUUUUUCACUUCUCAAAAUAAUGUCAACAUCAGCAAUACUAAGGUCCUUUGUUGUAUAAAUUGACUUGAGAUCUUUCUGAUGUAGAUAGUUGUCCGUGCUGGUGGAUUUUCAGCAUUGGUAGUCGUUGGAAUGUCUGUAAUGGGUGUUUCCAUCAUUUAUGCAACUUUGCAUACUAUAUAUUGGAUGAACUUGUGAUUGCUGGUGAAUUCUAAGAAUCAAGCAAGAAAACUGUUGUACGUCUUAUUGCUGCACAGGAUUCUUUGGUCGAGGCUGCCAAGGAAGAGGCAAGUUCUAUUAGUAACAUUCCCGCACAGGCGUUUCACUAAAACAAAGUGUAGCACAAUAGAAGGUGGACUAAUCCUUUUAAGCCAAGUACUUUUUUAGCAUUAUUCCAGUAUAUUGCAAAAGCUCAGCUAUCCAAAUGUACAAUUCGCUGGUGAGUAAACUUGCAAGGUAUCACCUACAAAAUGGAAUAUAAAAAAUACGAGCAGGUAUUGUUCAGAGUCCAGAUCAUACAAUACCAAUAUGGAGAGUUGAGCACUCACCAAUUAUGAAAACUCCUAAGAUUAUAACAUAUAAGUUAGAAGAGUUUCCUGAUGGCAAAUGCAUGCUGAUCUCCAACUCAAAAAAAUAGAUUCAUGGAGUCGUCAUUACAGAGAAUAUCUUCUUGCAAAUUAUAUAUCAUAUGGUAGAAUUCACAUUUUUUGUAAUAGAAACAAUAAUUUUUCCAUCAAUGUGAAAGGCCUGCACCUUAUAAUUCA